rnacentral:lncRNA from 1 species
GUAGGAAUUCCCUCCCCCCAUGGCAGGACAGGCGCUAUCAGAACCAGGAGGUGUGCUGGAGGAGGAUUGCUUUGCUCCUGGCUGAUGGACUAAAGUAAACAUAGAGAAAAAGGUGCACACAGUCAUCAUUGUCAUCAGCAACUGGAGAUGGACUAGAAGAAUGUAACGGAGCACACAUCUGGCAGCGUGACAUUAUUCCUAUGGGGUGCAAUGUGCCCUCUGUGCACGGAAUCAUCACUGUGGAUUUCUGCUUCAGUCCUGUGGGCAUGAGCUGUACUGUGUGUGCACUGAGGAGAGCCAGAAAGGAGCACGGAGUCAUCACCUGAGGGGAAACAAAAUUCAGAAACGAGGAGGGGAAAUUUCGGUGCUUAUUUUUAGACUCUGUGGAGAGAAGAGAAGCAAGACCCAGGAGAGGAGCAGCAUUCUGCGUGCAGGUCACAGGUGCUAAAAAGGAGAAAGGUACGCUCUUUUGUUUUCUUUACUUUGUUCAAAGUGCAAACGUUCCUAAGCUUGGGUUACAGAGAGACA